GAAUCGUCAGUCAGUCUUCUCGUUUUCUACUCGCCCUGCGCCUUGUUUCCGCCAGAUCAAAAGAGUUUCAGUCGCUUCUUCCUAGCCCAACUCCCCCCCCCGCUCCUCCCUGGCGUCCUCUGCGUGGCAGCCGCGCGUAUACAUAAAUACAGAGCCGUCAUUUGUCAUGUUCCGUUUUGGUCGUCUGUGCACCCCCAAGGCUGCCGGCGUGCAGCGCCGCUUCCUGAACAUCCAUGAGUACCAGUCCAAGCAGAUCAUCAAGGACAACGGCGGCAGGGUGGAGUUCGGUAUCGCAUGCAAGACGAUCGAGGAGGUCGAGGCCGCGUGCGCCAAGAUCAAGACGGAAAAGAAGGUCGUGAAGUCUCAGAUCUUGGCCGGUGGCCGCGGUAAGGGUGUAUUCAAGGAUGGCUUCCAGGGUGGUGUGCACGUAUGCGACAGCGCCGCUGCCGCCGUUGAGGCUGCCAAACACAUGCUCGGUAACACGCUGGUGACGAAGCAGACCGGUCCCAAGGGCCAGCUGGUGAACACGCUGUACGUCACGGAGGCCGUCGCGGGCAUCAAGCGCGAGCUCUACCUUUCCCUCAUCCUCGACCGAAAGAGCGCGUCGCCUAUGUUCAUCGGUAGCGCCGAGGGCGGUAUGAGCAUUGAGGAGCUCGCCAAGACCCACCCGGAAAAGAUCAAGACCAUGAAGGUCAACGUCGCUGAGGGUGUGGACCACGACGCGGCUGUGGCGUACGCCAAGGAGCUCGGCUUCGCAGGCGAGACGGCGGAGCGCGCGGCAGAGCAAAUCAAAGCCCUCUACAAUAUCGGCAAGUCCAAGGACUGCACCAUGGUGGAGAUUAAUCCAUUCGUUGAGCUCGAAAACGGUGAUGUGAUGGAGAUCGACGCCAAGCUCAGCUUUGAUGACAACGCCGCCUUCCGCCAGAGGGGUAUCUUCGCCCUGGAGGAUCAGACCCAGAUCGAUAGCAAGGAAGUGCUCGCCAAGAAGCACGAUCUGAACUACAUCGCUCUUGAUGGCAACGUCGGCUGUCUCGUGAAUGGCGCUGGUCUGGCCAUGGCCACCAUGGACACCAUUUCUCUGCACGGAGGCAGCGCGGCCAACUUCCUCGACGCUGGUGGUAGCGCCUCCGAGGCGCAGAUUGUGGCCGCCUUCAAGAUCAUCACGGGUGAUUCGAACGUGAAGAGCAUCCUGGUUAACAUCUUCGGUGGUAUCAUGCACUGCGAUGUCAUAGCGCAAGGUGUCGUGAACGCCUCCAAGGCGCUCAACACCACCAUCCCGAUCGUGGUGCGCCUUUGCGGCACGAACGAGCAGCGCGGCAAGGAGAUCAUCCGCAACAGUGGCCUCGUCAUCCACCCCGUCGAAGACUUCGAUUCUGCUGCCCGCAAGGCGGUGGAGCUUGCCAAGUAGUCGCGACGGUACAGCCAGAAGAAGAGGUGGGCGCCUGCGUGUGUGUAUGUAAGUUCGGGUGAGCGUGUGGGGCGCUGCAUCCACCCGCUGCCUCGCAUGAAACACCAUUGCCUUUCAGGACCCCUUUACACUUGUUGUUGCUCUUUCUCUUCUCUCUCGGCAACACGGGAGGGGCCUACAAAGAAAAGGGGAGGAAGAGAGAGAGACGACCACGUCAAGGCCCGUGCAGCUGAGGGCCCCGCGUGACCACACGCACACGAUUUCAUGCACUCCAAGGAAAGGAGAGGUCAACGUGCUCGGGUGAACUAGCGUGAUGGCGUGAAAAGGGAAGAAGGACUGCAGCGAGGAUAGGAAACGCAAAAACAGGAUGGGCCACAGAUGGAAAGGCCAGUAGCUCCGACCGUCGUCAUCCCUCUGCGUUCUUCUCGCGGCUGCAGUUAGCCCGUGUGCUUGCUCUUUCCAAAUCAUAGUAGCCCAUGUAUCUCUGUGUGGAUGUGUGUGGAUGUAUCAUCAAAAGGCCUCCUUUGGGGUUGGUGGAAGGGGGUAGGGGGUAUGUGUGUCCCUUCUCUCUUGGUUGGUUGGUUACGAUUGCUCCUCUUUCCCUCUCACCCCUCCCCCCUCCGCCACCACCUCCCUCAUUGUCAG
rnacentral:misc_RNA from 1 species